rnacentral:rRNA from 1 species
GUCUUUUAGGGUUUAUUUAAAGUCUGACCUGCCCAAUGAAUUAUUGAAUGGCCGCGGUAUUUUGACCGUGCAAAGGUAGCAUAAUCAUUUGUCUUUUAAUUAGAGGCUGGAAUGAAUGGUUGGACGAGAAAUCUACUUUCUUUUGUGCAAAUCUAGAAUUUAAUUUUUAAGUCAAAAAGCUUAAAUUUAAUUAAGGGACGAGAAGACCCUAUAGAACUUUAGUAUUUUAUUUUACCACACAAUUUUAAAUUACUUGUGUGGGGUUUUAAAUUACUUGUGUUGGGGUGACAUAGAAAUUUAAUUAACUUUCUUUUAUUAUUAUUCAUAAAUUAUUGUAUUUUUAGAUCCAGGUAUAAUCUUGAUUUUAAGUUUAAGUUACCUUAGGGAUAACAGCGUAAUUCUUUUGGAGAGUUCAUAUCGAUAAAAGAGUUUGCGACCUCGAUGUUGGAUUAAAAUUAGUAUUGGGAGUAGAAAAUUAUAUACUAGGUCUGUUCGACCUUUAAAUUUUUACA